GCCUGGGUGGCUCAGUGGUUGAGCGUCUGCCUUUGGCGCAGGGCGUGGUCCCGGAGUCCAGGGAUCAAGUCCCACAUCAGGCU
rnacentral:tRNA from 1 species